ACGAACGCUGGCGGCGUGCUUAACACAUGCAAGUCGAACGGAAAGGCCCUGCUUUUGUGGGGUGCUCGAGUGGCGAACGGGUGAAUAACACGUGAGUAACCUGCCCUUGACUUUGGGAUAACUUCAGGAAACUGGGGCUAAUGCCGGAUAGGAGCUCCUGCUGCAUGGUGGGGGUUGGAAAGUUUCGGCGGUUGGGGAUGGACUCGCGGCUUAUCAGCUUGUUGGUGGGGUAGUGGCUUACCAAGGCUUUGACGGGUAGCCGGCCUGAGAGGGUGACCGGCCACAUUGGGACUGAGAUACGGCCCAGACUCCUACGGGAGGCAGCAGUGGGGAAUAUUGCACAAUGGGCGGAAGCCUGAUGCAGCAACGCCGCGUGCGGGAUGACGGCCUUCGGGUUGUAAACCGCUUUCGCCUGUGACGAAGCGUGAGUGACGGUAAUGGGUAAAGAAGCACCGGCUAACUACGUG
rnacentral:rRNA from 1 species